GACGAACGCUGGCGGCGUGCCUAAUACAUGCAAGUCGAGCGGACAGAAGGGAGCUUGCUCCCGGAUGUUAGCGGCGGACGGGUGAGUAACACGUGGGUAACAUGCCUGUAAGACUGGGAUAACUCCGGGAAACCGGAGCUAAUACCGGAUAGUUCCUUGAACCGCAUGGUUCAAGGAUGAAAGACGGUUUCGGCUGUCACUUACAGAUGGACCCGCGGCGCAUUAGCUAGUUGGUGGGGUAAUGGCUCACCAAGGCGACGAUGCGUAGCCGACCUGAGAGGGUGAUCGGCCACACUGGGACUGAGACACGGCCCAGACUCCUACGGGAGGCAGCAGUAGGGAAUCUUCCGCAAUGGACGAAAGUCUGACGGAGCAACGCCGCGUGAGUGAUGAAGGUUUUCGGAUCGUAAAGCUCUGUUGUUAGGGAAGAACAAGUGCGAGAGUAACUGCUCGCACCUUGACGGUACCUAACCAGAAAGCCACGGCUAACUACGUGCCAGCCGCCGCCGUAAGAC
rnacentral:rRNA from 1 species